AAAGAGUUAGUUAAACUAACUUUAGUAUGUCAUACUAAAAUUGUUGGUACAAUCCAACACUCUUUA
rnacentral:tRNA from 1 species